UGGGGAAUCUUGGACAAUGGGGGCAACCCUGAUCCAGCAAUGCCGCGUGUGUGAAGAAGGCCUUCGGGUUGUAAAGCACUUUAGUCCGGGAAGAAGGGAUGUUGUUUAAGAGAUGACAAACUUGACGGUACCGGAAGAAUAAGCACCGGCUAACUCUGUGCCAGCAGCCGCGGUAAUACAGAGGGUGCGAGCGUUAAUCGGAAUUACUGGGCGUAAAGGGCGCGUAGGCGGUUUAUCGAGUGUGAUGUGAAAGCCCUGGGCUUAACCUAGGACGUGCAUCGCAGACAGAUAGACUAGAGUACAGUAGAGGGCAGUGGAAUUUCCGGUGUAGCGGUGAAAUGCGUAGAGAUCGGAAGGAACACCAGUGGCGAAGGCGGCUGCCUGGACUGACACUGACGCUGAGGCGCGAGAGCGUGGGGAGCAAACAGGAUUAGAUACCCGGGUAGUCC
rnacentral:rRNA from 1 species